AUCCUGGCCUUCCUCGACCUAUACGCCAUCGCCGCUGCCGCCGCCAUCGACGCCGCCGCCGCCGCCAUCACACGAUGUCGCCGCCGCUGCUGUGGACUCCUUCCCGAGGCUCAGGGCGGGGCGGUAGAACUGCGCUUGGCUGCAGUGCGUGUUCCCGGCGCCAUUGCCGACUGUCGGUGCGCCACCGUGCUGGCACCUCGACGGGCUGCUCGAGGUAAUGGCCGUGAGGCGUACAAGUUGACCUCACGCUGCAAUCGCUCUAAUAAAAAGGGCCACGAUUCAGUCGAUCCCCAUGUCAUACUGAACUUCAGAUUUCCAUCCAACUCAGCAAUCGAUCUGAAAAGAGGUCAUAGACUCACAAUCCCUUUCUUCUUCUUUCUUGAAUCAUCUCAGAUUUCAGGUUCUGACUAUGAGGCUUCCCAAACAUAUUUUUUCUAGGCCAAUUAUUGAAUCAAUCUUACACCGGUUGAUGCAGCGGAGGAGGAGGCGGCUGCAGUAGGCAGUAAGGCUGCCGAGUGAAGGGACUACAGGGAUUUGCUGGCCCCACGAUCCCUGCUCUGUUCUUAAAUCCUUUCAAUUCAUCACAGAAGAUACAGGCAUACAAUUUGGCUUGAUCCCUAAUGUUUGGACAAGAAAAAAAGUUGGUUGUGUACAUGCGUAUCCAUAAGUGGUCCUUUUGACUUGAUUGUGUGAUGUAGGAAGAGAAAGCAUGCAAGUUGCCAUGGGCUGCAUAACGACAUUGCUUCCAGUGGCACCAAAGAUAUAUAUGGCUACACAUCGGAUUAACUGGAUGGUACAUCCGAUCAUCCAUCCAUUACAUGGAGGUACGUUGCUUAGAGUUUGAAUAUUUUUCCAUGUCUUUAACUGCUAAAUUGUGCAGUUUCAUUUUUGUUAGAUCAGGUAGUCAGAUUUUAAAACUAUUGGCCAUACAAUUAUUAGCUUCAAGUACUACUUGAGCUGCACAGGUGGGCACAAUACUAUGUUCGUCAGUGCAAACUGUUUUGUGUAAUAUUUUUGCAAAUAUGGUCAAUGUAUACUGUUUUUUGUAAUAUUUUUGCAACUAUGGUCAACGUAUACUGUUUUCUGUAAUAUUUUUGCAGCUUCAGAGAAACUAUGUGUAGGUCUCUUCACCAUUCUUAGUAUUUUAAGUUUAGUGCUACAGCUAGCUCUUUAUUGUGCUUAGCAGCAACUGUUAUGACAGGACUAACUUCUCUUUUUCGUUCAUGAAUUCACAUGCUAGGAUUCUAUGUUAAAUAGGCUGAUUCUUCCAAGGGGUCGUUAGAAUGGGAAAUCGGAAGAUGAUGUUGUAUGAACUCUUUGAAAAUCCCUAACCACAUCUACUAAACAUUUAAAAUUCUAUAUCCUGCCCAUCGAAUUAGUGUUGCGUAGUUUUGCUUAUGCUACCACAAUUGCUCUGUAGGUUAACGGAAAUCCCAACCACUUGAAUACAUGAAUGCAUAAUGUGAUUUUCCAGAAAAUUUAGGACCCUUUUAUAUAUGCAACCACACUACUAAGUCCAGAGCUCAUGAACUACAAGACAAGUUCAACGAUAACCUAUAUUCAUAUUAACCAGAAUAUCAUGCAAAUGAAUUAUUAUGUUUAUUGGAUAUGACAAUCCCGUGCAGGUUUAGGCAAUCAUUCCACCUUCUAUUGUUAAGCAAAGGUAUAAACCCUAGAUUGCAAACAUUUUCCUAUACAUAUGGCAUUAAGUUAUGCCAAUUUCCUUACAUCCACCGGCCACAAGCUACCCAUGCAAUAGGUAAUUAUGACAUGUCAAUGAUGCAAUGGUGUUUGAAAUAUUUGGACUCCUAGUGAAACUUAAGAUUCAAAAGCUAGCUCGCUUAUCGAUUAUAUAUAUAUUACAACACUAAUUUGAUACCUCCAACAAACAGAACGUAAUAAAAAUAUAUGAUCCGCUCAUCUGAUGUGACCGAGUUAUAACGGUGUGGAUUAACAUCUGUAAUCAUCGACUGAAACCCUUAGAAUCAUUAGAUCUUUGGUACUGUAGUUGAAUUACCCACCUAUGCCAUCAAAUUAUGUGCACACAUCCUUUAAGAGAAAUCCACCAAUGUGUUUACCACCCAGAAUUGAAGAGUCGCAAUAUAGAAUCAAACUUUUCGAUCCCUCAUCCAUGUCUCUCUCCUGCAAUGGUGUCAUGCCUAAGUGCUACCACCAUUCGCACCCCACUAUGAUAUGUCUUCAGGUUGAUCUAUCUGCUAAUGGUCGCCGGCUGGCUGGUGAGCGUCGUCGCCAUUUGUAAAUUUGACGAUGCCUUGACGCAUAAGACGUUCUUAUGCUGCACUUACUAAGAGCAGCAGCGUGGUUAAUUAAGUUUAUGAGAGAAGUGUCAGUUCAUGCCGACGAUGGUCGAUGGAGCUUUAAUGUGGUUGUCGAGGCAUAAAAAGCAUGGUGAUCAAAAAUAUUUCUAAGGGUAAGGUGCAGGCAGCGCUAGCUGAUACUAGCAUGCCGUUUUUUAUUGUCUCUUAAUAUAUUUAUUUUCCAGCAGAUAUCCCGGAUUGGAUCAAAAAUUAUUUUUCCCAGUUUGUAACCCAAUAUGUUUGUGCACAAACACAUGUAAUGCUGAGGUACAGUUUAUGCUACAGCAGGUCCGGAUCAUUUGUCGCUCCGAGAGGAGUUCUUUCUGCGGUGAAGACACACUUACACGCAGCCUUUAACAAUUUCUUUCCGAUACUGGAUCUGGAUGGACCGGAUGAAGAACGGAACACACGCCGGUGAUUGCCCAAGUCCAGUCCUAACAAGGCCAUUAAUCACAUGGAUACGUUAAUUCCAGCAAUUUAUCUGUUGUGCUUCCUGAUGUUAUCUUAUUAACUGGACUUAGAAAUGGAGAAAUGCCAUGAUGUAAUGUGACUUGGUGGUGCAAGGUUAUAUUGCUGGACCAAGAUCUGCAUCUAUAUUUCCUAAAGUCUUUC